rnacentral:lncRNA from 1 species
CUCGGUGAUUUAGAGGCAGGGCUUUUCUCUUGUAUUCAGACUUAGGGCAACACCAGCUGAAAACUGCAGUUUCUUUCUUUUGGAUACAUAAGGCUUCUCUAUUGGGGUACAGGACAGGGAGGAGGCCUCAUGACUGAAGGUGGAUUCGGAGGGUGAGGGCCAGAGCCCCAGCCCUGACCCUCAGCCCUGUGCACCUCCUUGGGGGCACAGUCUGAUGGCACCAUUACUGGUGCCUUGUCUGGUUGAAUCUGGAUGGACGAGACAAAAGAAUUUUUUUCUUAAAUGAAAUAGCAGGAAGCUCCUCGGGGCAUGUGUUUUGAGUAACCACAGAUGAUGGAUGCUACGAGUAUAAAUGGAUUAACUACCUCAAUCCUCACAGUGAGAUUAGAACCGAGGGCUGGGACUGGAGAAUGAGGGGGUGGAUCCCAGCCAGGAGGAGUGAGCUGAGGCUUGUGCCACAGAAGGCUGACUGGCACCUCUGCAAGAGAAGUCUUCAUUGGUGAAUAUAAGACAAGAUGAAAGUUUUACUGGAAAACCUUUUUCUUCUUUUC